UUGGCUUCGCCGUCUCCUCCAAAUUACGACCUUCAAUCUACUGCCUGACAUGGAUUCUCUCGUUCAUGCGCUCACUUGUAGUGCUGAUGAGUGGGCCAGUGAUAAGAAACAAGAUCAAUUGUCUGUACCAUCUGAGAUCCGAACAAUUCGAUGGCGAAGUAAGUGAGGCUCUCUUCUGGCGGUUGAUCCAAUCUUUGUGCUAAAUGCCAUAAGCAGCUGCCAUAGACAAAUACAAGUACUAAGAAGUGGCAACUGUUUUGCAGCAAGCAUAAGUGUUUUCACAGAAGACUACUUUUAAGCUCAUGUCAGAACUGAAGCGCAGUAAUAUUAAAUUAAAUUAGCUGAUACCAUUUUAUGGCUUUUGUACCAAUUGCACUAUGAUAAAUGCUCAGUUCCUGUAUCUAAUUUUUUGGGUACGUUCUUAGUGUAAUCUUUUGAGAGAGUAUAUUCAUUCAUUCUUAGUGUUUGAACAAACGGAGGCUUGACAUGUAAUAAAAGCAAAUAUGCAUUCCAAUAUGCUUGUGAACUUUUAA